rnacentral:lncRNA from 1 species
GCUUACUUGUGAGUUUAAUAUUUAAUAUCUUUAAAGUUGACUUGAUGAAAUAAGAGAGAUGGACUUUGAGUAGGGUUAGAGAUAUUGAAAUAUAGUGAGUUUGAAUUAAUAAAAACGUAAAUGACAUUCAGUUCAAUUUGUAGUGCAUUAAGGACCGGUUCAUAAUCUAUUUUCUGAACUCUAGUGAUCAGAAUACAUUUUCCGAGCUAAAAUUUGGUUCAAAAUCUAUUUUUCAAACCAUACUUAAAGGACAAAAAAGGAAAUUUAGAGGGUUAAAGAGUAAAAUUUAAAAGAUAAAUUCUCUACCCACCCCUCAUUUUCUUUUUUACCUCUUGGCUUUCCGUUUUUGCCCUUGUAUAAAAAAUUCGAUUUCUAUUU